UACGGAGGGUGCAAGCGUUAUCCGGAUUUACUGGGUUUAAAGGGUGCGUAGGCGGCGCGGUAAGUCGGGUGUGAAAUCUUGGAGCUUAACUCCGAAACUGCAUUCGAUACUGCCGUGCUUGAGGACUGGAGAGGAGACUGGAAUUUACGGUGUAGCGGUGAAAUGCGUAGAUAUCGUAAGGAAGACCAGUGGCGAAGGCGGGUCUCUGGACAGUUCCUGACGCUGAGGCACGAAGGUCAGGGGAGCAAACGGG
rnacentral:rRNA from 1 species